AGGGUUCGAUUCUGGCUCAGGAUGAACGCUGGCGGCGUGCUUAACACAUGCAAGUCGAGCGAAGCAAUCUAAGUGAAGUUUUCGGAUGGAUCUUAGAUUGACUGAGCGGCGGACGGGUGAGUAACGCGUGGAUAACCUGCCUCACACAGGGGGAUAACAGUUAGAAAUGACUGCUAAUACCGCAUAAGCGCACAGUACCGCAUGGUACAGUGUGAAAAACUCCGGUGGUGUGAGAUGGAUCCGCGUCUGAUUAGGUAGUUGGUGGGGUAACGGCCCACCAAGCCGACGAUCAGUAGCCGACCUGAGAGGGUGACCGGCCACAUUGGGACUGAGACACGGCCCAA
rnacentral:rRNA from 1 species